rnacentral:misc_RNA from 1 species
AUCCAGAGGCUUCUUGGGACAAGGUUACUUCCUUUCUAAUCUUCAGUUUCUACAUAUAUAUAUAUAUAUUAUUUCUCUUUGUUAAUUUCUUAAUAUUCAAGUAAUCAGUUUUAUUGGGAUUGAGUAAAUAACUAGGUAUAGAAUCAUUGUGGAGUCAAGUGCCAGUUCCGCAACUGCAGUCUGCAGUGAAUAUGGACUGUUAUUCUGGUAUCUUUUAGCGUAAUAGUGGUUUUGGAGUUAAACCAAUUAAUCCAAAUGGGGAAUCUGUGAUAGAUGUACAAUGCCUGAGUGCAAAAGUGGAUGGUGAGGAAUAGGGCCUUUAUCAACAUAAUUUGAAGUUAUUGAUUAUUAAUGUGUGUGUG